rnacentral:rRNA from 1 species
ACUGAACGCUGGCGGCAGGCUUAACACAUGCAAGUCGAGCGGAGAUGAGGUGCUUGCACCUUAUCUUAGCGGCGGACGGGUGAGUAAUGCUUAGGAAUCUGCCUAUUAGUGGGGGACAACAUUCCGAAAGGAAUGCUAAUACCGCAUACGUCCUACGGGAGAAAGCAGGGGAUCUUCGGACUUUGCGCUAAUAAAUGAGCCUAAGUCGGAUUAGCUAGGUGGUGGGGUAAAGGCCUACCAAGGCGACGAUCUGUAGCGGGUCUGAGAGGAUGAUCCGCCACACUGGGACUGAGACACGGCCCAGACUCCUACGGGAGGCAGCAGUGGGGAAUAUUGGACAAUGGGGGGAACCCUGAUCCAGCCAUGCCGCGUGUGUGAAGAAGGCCUUAUGGUUGUAAAGCACUUUAAGCGAGGAGGAGGCUACUGAGACUAAUACUCUUGGAUAGUGGACGUUACUCGCAGAAUAAGCACCGGCUAACUCUGUGCCAGCAGCCGCGGUAAAAC